CGAGUUAUCUGAACCUUCGGGGAACGAUAACGGCGUCGAGCGGCGGACGGGUGAGUAAUGCCUAGGAAAUUGCCCUGAUGUGGGGGAUAACCAUUGGAAACGAUGGCUAAUACCGCAUAACGCCUACGGGCCAAAGAGGGGGACCUUCGGGCCUCUCGCGUCAGGAUAUGCCUAGGUGGGAUUAGCUAGUUGGUGAGGUAAGGGCUCACCAAGGCGACGAUCCCUAGCUGGUCUGAGAGGAUGAUCAGCCACACUGGAACUGAGACACGGUCCAGACUCCUACGGGAGGCAGCAGUGGGGAAUAUUGCACAAUGGGCGCAAGCCUGAUGCAGCCAUGCCGCGUGUGUGAAGAAGGCCUUCGGGUUGUAAAGCACUUUCAGUCGUGAGGAAGGUAGUGUAGUUAAUAGCUGCAUUAUUUGACGUUAGCGACAGAAGAAGCACCGGCUAACUCCGUGCCAGCAGCCGCGGUAAUACGGAGGGUGCGAGCGUUAAUCGGAAUUACUGGGCGUAAAGCGCAUGCAGGUGGUUUGUUAAGUCAGAUGUGAAAGCCCGGGGCUCAACCUCGGAAUUGCAUUUGAAACUGGCAGACUAGAGUACUGUAGAGGGGGGUAGAAUUUCAGGUGUAGCGGUGAAAUGCGUAGAGAUCUGAAGGAAUACCGGUGGCGAAGGCGGCCCCCUGGACAGAUACUGACACUCAGAUGCGAAAGCGUGGGGAGCAAACAGGAUUAGAUACCCUGGUAGUCCACGCCGUAAACGAUGUCUACUUGGAGGUUGUGGCCUUGAGCCGUGGCUUUCGGAGCUAACGCGUUAAGUAGACCGCCUGGGGAGUACGGUCGCAAGAUUAAAACUCAAAUGAAUUUGACGGGGCCCGCACAAGCGGUGAGCAUGUGGUUUAAUUCGAUGCAACGCGAAGAACUUACCUACUCUGACAUCCAGAGAACUUUCAGAGAUGAUGUGCCUUCCGGGACUCUGAGACAGUGCUGCAUGCUGUCGGUCAGCUCGUGUUGUGCAUGGUGGAUAGUCCGCAACGAGCGCAACCUAUCCUGCUGCAGCGAUAGUCGACUCGAGGAACCUUGCCGGGUCAUAACG
rnacentral:rRNA from 1 species